rnacentral:tRNA from 1 species
UAGCUCAGUUGGUAGAGUGCUUGCCUUGCAUGCAUAAGGUCCUGGGUUCAAUCCCCAG